AGCUCAUGUUGUGGACAUCGUCAAAGAAGAACUUUGCAUCUUCACAUGCUUCAUAAUAGCACUCUGAAUCAAACUGUGAGAAUGUAGUGAUCUCAUCUCUCAACUU
rnacentral:snoRNA from 1 species